rnacentral:rRNA from 1 species
GACGAACGCUGGCGGCGUGCUUAACACAUGCAAGUCGAGCGGAAAGGCCCUUCGGGGUACUCGAGCGGCGAACGGGUGAGUAACACGUGAGUAACCUGCCCUUGGCUCUGGGAUAGCUCCGGGAAACCGGAAUUAAUACCGGAUAUGACCUCGGCCGACAUCGGCUGUGGUGGAAAGAUUUAUCGGCCAGGGAUGGGCUCGCGGCCUAUCAGCUAGUUGGUGGGGUAACGGCCUACCAAGGCGACGACGGGUAGCCGGCCUGAGAGGGCGACCGGCCACACUGGGACUGAGACACGGCCCAGACUCCUACGGGAGGCAGCAGUGGGGAAGUAUUGCGCAAUGGGCGAAAGCCUGACGCAGCGACGCCGCGUGGGGGA